UAAUAUCGUACUAUUUCGGCGUUUUACCACUACAUCCACAAAACUAUUUUCGUUUCUGUAAGGCAGUUUCUGUAGUGAGGGGAGUAACAUAUAUCGAAUUCGAUUAUUUAGUAUGAUAGAAAGAGAUCUGCGUAUACACAAUAUUCAAAUAUGACAUUUGAAAAAUUUCCGCCAUUUACUUUUUCAUUUGGAGACGCUAAGAGGUUCGUUUGGAUGUAUUCCAGCCCAGGAGCACAACCGAUAUAUUAAAACCAAAAUCAAAAUAUUAAAGCAAAACAUAUCCUGAAGAAAUAAAGAUGUCACCAAGAAAUACUUGAAAUAUGCUGGAAAUGUUUAUUAUUUUAAGUAUUUAUAAUUAUUUAAAUAUUUUCCUAGGU